GUCUUUUUGAUUAUAUUUUAAAGUCUGGCCUGCCCAAUGAAAUUUAAAAGGCCGCGGUAUUUUGACCGUGCAAAGGUAGCAUAAUAAUUAGUUUUUUAAUUGAAAGCUAGAAUGAAUGGUUGAACGAGGAAAUAGCUGUCUCUAUAUUAAUUAUUUAGAAUUUUAUUUUUAAGUUAAAAAGCUUAAAUAAAUUUAAAAGACGAGAAGACCCUAUAGAGUUUUAUAUUAAUACCAUUAAAGUUAAGUUGAAUUAUUUGAUUUUAAGAUUUAUUACUAUUUUGUUGGGGUGAUGGUGAAAUUUAUACAACUUUCAUUUAAUAAGAUCAUUAAUUUAUGAAUAUUUGAUCCAUUUUUAUGAUUAUAAGAUUAAAUUACCUUAGGGAUAACAGCGUAAUUCUCCUAAAGAGUUCAAAUCGAAAGGGGGGUUUGCGACCUCGAUGUUGGAUUAAAAUAAAUGCUUGGUGUAGAAGUUAAGCUAUUAGGUCUGUUCGACCUUUAAAAUUUU
rnacentral:rRNA from 1 species